AGUAACGCGUGGGUAACCUGCCUCAUACAGGGGGAUAACAGUUAGAAAUGACUGCUAAUACCGCAUAAGCGCACAGUGCUGCAUGGCACAGUGUGAAAAACUCCGGUGGUAUGAGAUGGACCCGCGUCUGAUUAGCUAGUUGGUGGGGUAACGGCCUACCAAGGCGACGAUCAGUAGCCGGCUUGAGAGAGUGAACGGCCACAUUGGGACUGAGACACGGCCCAAACUCCUACGGAGGCAGCAUG
rnacentral:rRNA from 1 species